rnacentral:rRNA from 1 species
UACAGAGGUGGCAAGCGUUGUUCGGAAUUACUGGGCGUAAAGGGCGCGUAGGCGGCCUCCUAAGUCAGACGUGAAAUCCCCCGGCUUAACCUGGGAACUGCGUCUGAUACUGGGAGGCUAGAGUGCGGGAGAGGGAUGCGGAAUUCCAGGUGUAGCGGUGAAAUGCGUAGAUAUCUGGAGGAACACCGGUGGCGAAGGCGGCAUCCCGGACCGACACUGACGCUGAGGCGCGAAAGCUAGGGUAGCAAACGGG